rnacentral:rRNA from 1 species
CCUUCGUGGGGGCACCCUGACCGCAAUGCCGCGUGAGUGAAGAAGGCCUUCGGGUUGUAAAGCUCUUUUGUCAGGGAAGAAACACCGGCUCUAACACAGUCCGGGAAUGACGGUACCUGAAGAAUAAGCACCGGCUAACUACGUGCCAGCAGCCGCGGUAAUACGUAGGGUGCAAGCGUUAAUCGGAAUUACUGGGCGUAAAGCGUGCGCAGGCGGUUAUACAAGACAGGCGUGAAAUCCCCGGGCUUAACCUGGGAAUGGCGCCUGUGACUGUAUAGCUAGAGUGUGUCAGAGGGGGGUAGAAUUCCACGUGUAGCAGUGAAAUGCGUAGAUAUGUGGAGGAAUACCAAUGGCGAAGGCAGCCCCCUGGGAUAACACUGACGCUCAUGCACGAAA